rnacentral:rRNA from 1 species
GACGAACGCUGGCGGCGUGCUUAACACAUGCAAGUCGAACGGAAAGGCCCUGCUUUUGUGGGGUGCUCGAGUGGCGAACAGGUGAGUAACACGUGAGUAACCUGCCCUUGACUUUGGGAUAACUUCAGGAAACUGGGGCUAAUACCGGAUAGGAGCUCCUGCUGCAUGGUGGGGGUUGGAAAGUUUCGGCGGUUGGGGAUGGACUCGCGGCUUAUCAGCUUGUUGGUGGGGUAGUGGCUUACCAAGGCUUUGACGGGUAGCCGGCCUGAGAGGGUGACCGGCCACAUUGGGACUGCGAUACGGCCCAGACUCCUACGGGAGGCAGCAGUGGGGAAUAUUGCACAAUGGGCGGAAGCCUGAUGCAGCAACGCCGCGUGCGGGAUGACGGCCUUCGGGUUGUAAACCGCUUUCGCCUGUGACGAAGCGUGAGUGACGGUAAUGGGUAAAGAAGCACCGGCUAACUACGUG